UACGUAGGGUCCGAGCGUUGUCCGGAAUUAUUGGGCGUAAAGGGCUCGUAGGCGGUCUGUUGCGUCGGGAGUGAAAACUUACAGCUUAACUGUGAGCGUGCUUCCGAUACGGGCAGACUUGAGGUAUUCAGGGGAGAACGGAAUUCCUGGUGUAGCGGUGAAAUGCGCAGAUAUCAGGAGGAACACCGGUGGCGAAGGCGGAUCUCUGGGCCUUACCUGACGCUGAGGCGCGAAAGCUAGGGGAGCGAACAGG
rnacentral:rRNA from 1 species